UCGCGGUGGUUUACAAACGUCCAAGAGUUAAAAAAUGCCUGUACUUGUGGUCAGAAUAAGUGAUCAGGAAGGUACUGACUUAUUGGCAAAUACAGUCACCAACUUUUCGGGGGGUAAAUUCUACGAGUUGUUUGAAAAGUGUGUGGAAUCGAAAGACAUUAUCUUGUCUGUUGAUUCGAUUGUGGAAGUUCGUCUGCGUGAAGGACAAAAUGCCCAAUUCAUCAUCGCAGAUAAUGCUGAUAUGGACGUUUCAGAAAUAACCUCUACACUUAAUUACCUUCUUGGCAGACCAUGGAAAGAGUAGUCACUACAUGUUCCAGUUGAAAAAGUGCAAUAACUGUGCCUAUUGCACAGUUAUUAACCCCAAGGCUUCCUGUUGCUGAAUUCCAGAGUUUGCAUUUUCUGCCUGACCCUGUUCCUGGAGGAGAUGGCCAUUAUCAAACCUUUGAGGAGUUGUAUGGACAAGUAACAGACGAUACAUACAGGCCGAGUGCUCAAGUACAGGAUGAUCCUGCCACUGCCAACGACAGGCGUAACCGAGAUAUAUUUAAGACCCAAAAAGGUUGUGAUGUUAUUGUAUGUGGAGAGUGCUCAAAACCAAGAUGUGUCUACAGUG